UUUAUUUUCUAAAUAAAAGUAGAUGUGGCCUAGCUCCAGUUACGUUUUUUCCCCAAAUCUGAACCCUUUAGCUCCAAUCAAGUUUUCCCCCAAUUACUCUAAUUUCUCAUACCCAUUUUCCUCUUUUCAUUUUACUCUGCUCCAGUCACAUUUUUCCCAAAUCUGAACUCUUUUCACUUUUCCCUAUCUCCAAUUACGUUUUUGGUUUUCCCCAAAUCACUCUAAUCCCUCAGACCAAUUUUCCCCUUUUAAUUUCACUGUUUGAAAUCCCUCAAAAUCCAGUCGUCCGGUGAGAGAUCUCCAGAAGAUCUGUGUCCGUUUUGCUAACAUUCAGACUAUCUGCUCAACAUCGUCUUAUUCAACCCACGAACUCGGCAGUUGGUGAUUUCUAUAGCAAAAAAUCUUCGAGCAAAAGGCACUCCGUGAGAAACUGAUUUUAGCUGAAAAAUAUAAUAUUCCUGACGAGGCGAAAACAUGGGCUUUUGAAUCAAUUGGUACUGCUUGGAGAAAGUAUAAGAAUCAGUUGAAGAAAAACCACUUUAAAGCCUAUGAGAAUGACGAGCAUCGAAUGGAGAAUAGGGCGGUAGAUGUUCCGGAGUAUCACUUAAAGGAUCUUCUUAAAUAUCGGAACUCCGAUCCCCACAAGGUGGAGUAGAUGAAGAAAUAGAAGACGAAAACAAUGAAGAUCUAGACCUUACUUAAGAAGAAUUUUGAAUUGCUGUAGAUGCAUGGUCUAGAAUUUUUUGUUGUUAACAUUUUGAAACUUACUUUUAACUCUUGAAAUGUAACACUUCUCUACUUGGGGUAGAACAUUUCACUCUUAUGGAUAUUAUUAGCUUGUUGGAUAAUUUUGAUUAUGAAUAGUUUCAUUUUGUUAUU